rnacentral:rRNA from 1 species
CCUACGGGCGGCAGCAGUGGGGAAUAUUGCACAAUGGGGGAAACCCUGAUGCAGCGACGCCGCGUGAGUGAAGAAGUAUUUCGGUACGUAAAGCUCUAUCAGCAGGGAAGAAAAUGACGGUACCUGACUAAGAAGCCCCGGCUAACUACGUGCCAGCAGCCGCGGUAAUACGUAGGGGGCAAGCGUUAUCCGGAUUUACUGGGUGUAAAGGGAGCGUAGACGGCAGCGCAAGUCUGUAGUGAAAUCCCAUGGCUUAACCAUGGAACUGCUUUGGAAACUGUCCAGCUAGAGUGCAGGAGAGGUAAGCGGAAUUCCUAGUGUAGCGGUGAAAUGCGUAGAUAUUAGGAGGAACACCAGUGGCGAAGGCGGCUUACUGGACUGUAACUGACGUUGAGGCACGAAAGCGUGGGGAGCAAACAGGAUUAGAUACCCCUGUAGUC